rnacentral:piRNA from 1 species
CCAUUUUACAGAGUGCAGAUUGGUUCA